CCUACGGGUGGCUGCAGUGGGGAAUAUUGGACAAUGGGGGGAACCCUGAUCCAGCCAUGCCGCGUGUGUGAAGAAGGCCCUCGGGUUGUAAAGCACUUUCAGUGAGGAAGAACGCCUGGUGGUUAAUACCCAUCAGGAAAGACAUCACUCACAGAAGAAGCACCGGCUAACUCCGUGCCAGCAGCCGCGGUAAUACGGAGGGUGCGAGCGUUAAUCGGAAUUACUGGGCGUAAAGCGCGCGUAGGUGGCUUGAUAAGCCGGUUGUGAAAGCCCCGGGCUCAACCUGGGAACGGCAUCCGGAACUGUCAAGCUAGAGUGCAGGAGAGGAAGGUAGAAUUCCCGGUGUAGCGGUGAAAUGCGUAGAGAUCGGGAGGAAUACCAGUGGCGAAGUCGGCCUUCUGGACUGACACUGACACUGAGGUGCGAAAGCGUGGGUAGCAAACAGGAUUAGAUACCCGAGUAGUC
rnacentral:rRNA from 1 species